rnacentral:pre_miRNA from 1 species
UCUCAUGAUGUGACUCUCUAGAGGGAAGCGCUUUCUGUUGGCUAAAAGAGUAGGAACCGCUUCCCUUUAGAGCGUUACGCUUUGAGA